rnacentral:lncRNA from 1 species
CCAACUCCAGUCAUAAUAAGGGUAACUGUGUGUGUGUGUCUGUGUCUAUGUGUGUGUGCGCUGUGCAUACACACGCACAUGGUGCACUUGGGUAUGGAAUUGUGUAGAAAGGAACUGUCAGGUUCGCAUCUCACCCCGGGUUUGACCUUCUCUCAGCUCUGAUUCCUGAAGGCGAAAAAUGAGGAAAGACUUCUCUCCAAAGGGAAAAAAUAACAUAAAAUAAAUGGAAAGAUAUUAAUCUUGAGACCAUUUACGGGGAGGUGUUAAGUGGCCCCACUGGCAUUAACAGCAAUGAGCUUCGAAUAUCACUUGUACAAUUACUGUCACAGAUAUUUGUAACCUAUGAACCAUGCCCUCUCAAGAAAGAAAAGUACCCAAGAACUAGGAGGGUGCACACCAGGGAGCCCUGGCCUAGCCUGAGGAGUCAGAGGCAGCUCUCGAAGGGGGCAAUGAGAAAGCGGUACCCAGAUAAAGAAGGGGAAAAGCUCUCCCUGUAGAACAAGUAUGGGCAUGAAGACCUGGACUUAACGUGGAAAAUGGGAUUAAGAAUAUUUACUUUUUAUAGUCGUGGUUUAAAUAAAGCCAUGCAUGUAUGGCCUGGCUCUUGGCAAGGACUCAAGGAAUGUCCUCUCCCUUCACCUGUCAGCGUUCAAAGUUAGAAACUGGCACAUCGUGCAGGAAGCUGACACACCCAGGUCCUCCAAACACCCAAGUCCUCUCUCUAAUCCUGUAUCUUUGAGGGUGUUUGGUUUUGUUCCAGUAUCUUAACCAGUAUUGAGUUAUCAGGUUCGGCCAUGGAACACUCACAAGACUUUCUUAAAAUCAUGUGUUUAAGAUCAUUCAAAGGGAUCAAAACUUCAAUUUGGAUGAAUGCAUCCAAGUGUCCUAUUAAUAAUCUUUCUCAUCAACAAAAACAAAAAAAAUAAAACUGGGAAAAAAAUUAUGAGGAGACAGCUAGUAAAAUGAAUGAGGAUUGCUGUUUUCCUUUUUUUUUUUUUUUUCCAGCAGUGCACACUGAAGGAAUAUCUAUGACCUCAAUUUCCAAUUUCCAUCAGAUUCCAGGAGAUACAUUUGAAGAAAAAAAGCCAAAUCUUUACAGGGAUACCUAGAGCUUUAGAACCAGAAAUCAACUAGAAGAUCAUUAGGUCAACCCCUUCAUUUUCCAGAGGAUGUGAGUGAUUUUUAAAGCUGGAAUGAAGCUCAUACGGGGUUAUCGGCAGAAUUAGGGCUUGAAUUUGGGAGUCCUAAGGCAAUCAGAGCAGUGCAUGUAUGGCAAUGGCACUGAUCAGCUAAGGAGAUUUUCUGCUGAGGACAAGUAACCUAAGUUUCAAAGUUAAAGCAGAGGGUCGUUGAUAACCUGCCAAAUUCACUUGUCUGGAGAAGGAAAGUGAAGUUAAAAGUGCUAUAAACCAACAAAGCCUCAAUUCCACAAAUUUAAGAACAUAUUCUCUUUCCUAAUAGAUGCAAUAAUCUAAUAGAUGCUCUUCACUUUUCAUUGACCCCUUUAAGGGGAGCGGUGGAGUUUUCUCAGAUUUGCAUGUGAUUUGCAUAUUGGUCACACAAUCCCCAGCUCAGGUCAAUGAGUAAUCACAGGCUUGUUCCUGUUCUGGUUCUUGGUCAUUAAGCAAGAAUGCCAGGUGCCUUAGCUUCUGCCAUGGGAAACCAUCACCCAGGAAAGUACGGCCAUUCUCCAACUGCCUCUUUCCGGCUGAGGACCAAGGCAGCCCUCAUAAUCCUGAUGCCCUCCAGAGGCCUUAUAGAAAACCACGAAAGACUCCCCAGUGCAGUGUGUGGUCUGAAUAUAUCAACUAUGAAGGAAACUUCUGGGCCUAUUAAGGACAUUUGAAUUUGGAUUGGGCCUUCCAUGCCACUAGGAAAUUACUGUUAAUUUUUAUGGGUAUAAUAAUUGUAUUAUUGUUAUGUAAGAUAAUAGCCUUACUUUUUAGAUAUGCAUUCUGAAAUAUUUGAGGUUAAAAUGUGAUAUCUGUAAUUUGCUUUAAAAUAUAAACUACUCUAAAAUACUAAGCAGGCCGGGUGCAGUGGCUCAUGUCUGUAAUCCCAGCACUUUGGGAGGCCGAGGCAGGCAGAUCACUUGGAGUCAGCAGUUCGAGACCAGUCUGGCCAACAUGGUGAAACCCCAUCUCUACUAAAAAUACAAAAAUUAGCUGGGUGUGGUGGUGCAUGCUUGUAAUCCCAGCUACUGGGGUGGCUGAGGCAGGAGAACCACUUCAACCAUUGAGACGGAGGUUGCAGUGAGCGGAGAUCACACCACUGCACCCAGCCUGGGCAACAGAGUGAGACUGCCUCAAAAAAAAAAUAAAAUACUGAGCAAAACAAACAAACAAAAAAUAAAGCAAAUGCAGCAAUAUGUUAGUAAAUGUUAAACCAAGGCAUGUGUCCAUUAUAAUAGUCUCUCUACAUUUCUGUAUGUGAAAAAUUGCAUACUAAAAAUUUUAAAGCAAAUAAAGUUAUUCUGUUAUAAUGAGAAAAGGAGCUGUGGAACUUGACCUCUCGUUACCCUGUUCACCACCCAAAGGUCAUCCUCCAUAGACAGAUGAUAUAAAGACAGCAAGAACUUUUUAUAUGUAAAAAGCACACACAGGUGACUACUACAUGAAUAUUUUCUCAUUGCAAACACUUCAAACCACCAAGAAGUAUAAGGAGUAACCAUUGAAAGUUUCCCUCUGUGGGUUUCCCUCUUCCAGUCAAUCCCCCAAUUCUUCAACUCCUGCCCCCACUUCUCUCCCCACCAUUAAUUAACAAUUUAGUGGAUGGGAGAAGAAAAAUUGACUUAUGUCCUUGGGUCAAACUCAAUGCCAAAAUCACCCAGGAAAAAAAGGAUACAAGCAGAGCUGUGGUAUGGGGUAGGGAUAGGGGCAGAAUGAGGUGAAACAGGCUUUCUGAAUCGCUGGAAAGCUACACACAGUAUUCUAUUUUGGAAAGACACAUGGGUAUCCACUCUGCUUCCUCUGGCAGGAGAACGUGGCCUUCCUAAUACUGAGUUCAGUUUGUCAUCCAGGAGUUCAGUUUGUCAUCCAGGAGAGCCUGAAGUUUGCAAACUCUCUCCCUUGAAACCCAAACAUUCAGGUUGUUAAAGGUAAGUUCUCCCCACCCCAUAGUUGUGGAAUCAUAAAGCUCUCCCACAAGGCACCUUCUCAGUGCUGUCAUCUCAACAUGGCAGAGCCCAACCUGGGUGGAGAGUAUCACCUUCAGCUUUUGGCUCUGAUGAGGAUUCAAGGCCCCAGAACAAAAGACAUGACAAGAUGAGCAACAUGAGGUAAUGCUUGCCUCCCUUACAUUUUGUAUCCUUGGUUAAAUAAAAUGGGAACUUACGAUAAAUGCAUAGGUAUCACCUGUUUUUCUUAAUUCAGAAUCUAUUGGAAAAUCUGCAGUCUUUCUAUAGCCUUUUUUCUAUGCACUUACAUAUAUAUUUAAUAAUGAUAACAGUAACAAUAAAGGAACACCUGUACACUGUUUGUGGGGAUGUAAAUUAGUACAACUGUCAUGGAAAACUGUAUGGAGGUUUCUCUUAAAACUAAAAAUAGAAUUGUUAUAUGAUCCAGCAAUCCCACUUCUGAGUAUUUACCCAAAAGCUUUUUGUUUGUUUGUGUUUGAGAUGGAGUCUCUCUCUGCUACCCAGGCUGGAGUGCAAUGGCAUGAUCUCGGCUCACUACAACCUCCACCUCCUGGGUUCAAGCGAUUCUCCUGCCUCAGCCUCCCAAGUAGCUGAGAUUACAGGCAUGUGCCACCACGCCUGGCUAAUUUUUGAAUUUUUUGGUAGAGACGGGGUUUUGCCAUGUUGGCCAGUCUGGUCUUGAACUCCUGACCUCAAGUGAUCUGCCUACCUCAGCCUCCCAAAGUUGUGGGAUUACAGGUGUGAGCCACCAUGCCUGGCCCCAAAAGCUUUUAAAUC